UUCGCUUGGCAUAGCAGGAAAAGCACAGGUGUUACUAAUAACACUAACGAACUCUGAACGAACAGCUCUGUUCUAAAGCAGCUAGAUGGAAUUCAGUAGUCAUUAAUUUCAUUAUUUACACCUGUGCUUUUCCUACUGUGUGAGUCAAAAUGUGUUCUGUGAAAAAAGCCAAUCUAGAAUAUUCAUCCGACUACAUAAAGACCCUUCUGUAUUGAUUAUGUCUGUAGAUUUUACUUUUUUACUUGAGGUUUUUGUAAUUAUGUGCUACUGGGAGUCAUUUAAGUCACGAUUGUUGUCAGAAAGGUGCUUUGUUGCACCUGUAACCACCCAACAGUGAUGUCACAUAGUGUUGCUGACACACCACGGGGUACACUGCUGCAUGACUGCAUCAAGGCACAUGCUUCCACGUGGCCGGGUCAGCGAGGUCCACCAGAGCUUUGGCGUUGAGGAGACCGAAGCCGAAACGGCUGUUGACCAUCAGCCCUGCUCCGUUCCUCUUCCAGCCGGGGUUGUUGGCCAGAGGAUCGAACUCUGAGGUCCAGACCACGAUGUGCUGCAGGUCUCUCCAGUUAAGAUCUGGACUGGAGGGAGGGAAGAUAGACAGGGAGGCAGACCAAGUCUAUACUGGUGUUUGUUGGUGCCUACUGUACCUGUCGGACCAGAUUGUAGUCCAGCUCUCUGGCUAUCGCCUCCGCAGCGUCCAGUCCUCCGGGGAUCUCCACAGCCCACUCGUUCAGGUACUGUCUGUCC